UCCUGCCUCAGCCUCUUGAGUAGCUGGGAUUAUAGAUGCGUGCCACCACGCCUGGCUAAUUUUUAUAUUUUUAGUAGAGACAGAGUUUUGUCAUGUUGGCCAGGCUGGUCUCGAACUCCUGAUCUCAGGUGAUCUGCCCGUCUUGGCCUCCCAAAGUGCUGGGAUUACAGGCGUUAGCCAUAGCGCCCGGCCGAGAUUAAAUAAUUUGACCAAGGUCACACGGGUAGUAUGAAUCAGGGUUCAAAUCCAGAUCUGUCUGAGCUGAAGCUUAUGCUCUGAACUAAUUAGGCAUGCAGCUUCCCUGGUAGAAAGCUUCUUUGUCCUCGUGCUAAGCUGUAGCUUCUCCAAGUGUCCUUUCUUUCCAGGGUAGGGUGGGGUGGGGUGGGGGUAUCAUACAAAUCAUGAGUGAGAUGACAGUCACAUUGGUAUUUGGUACCUCAAAAUUUUUUUCUACAAAGAUCCCCAGUUUCCUAAUUUUUUUCUGCUUAACAUAAUACUGAACUUCCUCACAAGAUCAUGCUGCUUAAUUCUUUCUAAAUCGUGUUUAUCUUAUUUUUUUCUAAAAAAUAAUACAUGCAUUUGGAACAAAACUUAAAUAUUAGAAAAAGGGUGUGUGUAUGUGUGUGUGUGUGUGUGUGUGCAUAAGGGUAUACACAUUAGAUAUGUAUAUAAUGGUACACACACACACACAUAUAUAGAGAAAGAGAGACUGUAUGUUAGAGUGUUUUACAAAAUAUAUCGAUGGUAACAUACUAUAAAAAACAUUCAGCACCAUGCUUUUUUCUCUUAAAAUAUCUUGGGGAUACAUCCAGAGCUGCUUGUUGUUUUAACAGCUGCAUCAUGUUUUAUUACAUAGAUGUGCCUUAAUUUAUUCAGCCAGGCUCAUGGGUGAUCAUUUAGCUUGUUUCCAGUUUUUUGCUGCUACAAAUAGUGCUGUAUAAAAUAUCCUUGUAUACAUGGCUUUGUAAACAUGCACGUAUCUGUAAGAUAAACUUCUAGAACUGGAUUGAUAACAUUGCCAAAUUGCCCUCUGAAAGGUUAUACCAAUUCAGACACUCACUGAUCCAUUUAUAAUUCCCUACUACAAUAUACCUUUGCCAACAUAAGGAAUCAAACUUUUUGAUCUCUGGUAACUAAUAGGUUAACUAAUAGGUUAAAAAAAGGUAUCACAGCUUUACUCUCUUACUAGAUAUUUUCCUUUGUUUUUCUUUUAUGGCUUUUAAAUUUCAUGUCAUGUUUAGAAAGAU
rnacentral:lncRNA from 1 species